GAGGUAUCCCUAGGGUUUGUCUAAAGCGUCGCCGAGCUCUCUUCCCGUCUUCCCUCAGUGUCCCUCUCGGCCUCUCCCCUCUCCUCUCCUCUGCCUCCACCCUCUCCUUCCCCUUGCCGACUACUUCCUCCUCCCCGUCGACGGUGACCGCGGCUACAUCACGCCCCCCUAAUCAUGUUUCUUUUUACCCUAUGAUAACAAAAUAAAAAAAAAAAGAAGAGGAAGAGUUAGAAGAUCUCAUAUAUUCGCUCUCCCUGGGAUUUCUUUGGCUCCUGUCGCCUUCCCUCUCCCUCUUCUGUUCGAAGUCUUCCAUGCAUGCGAGCUAUUUAGGGUUCGGGUUCGAUCUCAUCUACACGAGGGGAUUGUUAGGAAGGUGGUGGAGGAUUCUCAUUUAGUUUAUUGGGGAGAAUAGAUCUCAUCUACCGUGAGGGGAUCUGCAGUUGGACAUCGAUUGACCAAGGAACUGCAUACGUCCUUAUGCUAGUGGCCUUAGUCCUCACUUAUCUCAUCCACCCCUUGGAUGCUUCAUCACCCUACAAUCUCUUCUAAGCCCAUUCAUGGACUGAAUUGAUGGAUUUGUUAGGGAAGGGAGCGGGCAUGUUUGGAUUGGUUGUUCAUUUUGUUUGAAUCUGUUGUGGUUUGGGAUUUGAACCUCUGGUUGUGGCAAGUUGGUUGUUGAAGAAUAUAGGCUCUUCCAGAAGAUAUGGAGCAAUAUUUUAAAGGACCAAUGCAAGCUUUUGAUUCUGCUACCGUUUACAGUGUGCAGUGACCUUAAUGUGUUUCUUAUGAUUGAUGCAUGGCAUAUUUAAAAGAAAUCUGUAUACUUUAGAAUAGAAGCUCCUGCUGACUUGGGUUGUAAUGAUAGUUGUUCAGUUUUCUGCUGUCUAUAAUAUUAAGUUCCCCUGCAGUGUUUGCUUUUAUAAUCUAGUGAUUCCAACAUUUGCAUGCUUUCGCUUGUCAGGAUAUUGCUUUCGCUGUGGAUGAUUGAAGUUGUUAGCUUAUAGAAUUAUUCCACUACUGGUUCUUUUCUGCUAGCAUAAUCUGGCUAGAACCUUCUUUACGGCAGAUCCUUGUUGCGCCUCUUUUGCAUUUUGUCUUUGAUUACUUAAUAAAUUCCUUUUGUCUAGGUGUUUGGAUGUCUUUAUGAAGUAUGUAUAAACCAAAAAACUGUUGCAAAAAUUGUUUUAAAAUAGUCAUAUAGGAGUAAUUGAAUGGGCAGCUUACCUGAUUUUUAUUCAUUUAUGUCUAUAUGAAAUGGCAGCAUUAAUGGAUGACUAUUCGAUUUAGAAAAUAGAUUAAACGGAUUAAACAGGUCGGAUCAGGUUGGAUCAGAUUACCUGUUUAUUAGAAGGGUCGGGUUCAGGUUAUGAUUUCUGACAUGUUUAAUAAACAGGUCGGAUUCAGAUUUAUGAUUUUCUGACCCGAUCCGUUUAUAUCCAAUCCGACCCCAUUGCCACCUCUAAUAGAAAUGUCCUCCAAGCUUACGUUCUUGUAUGGUUAGCUACAUAUGCUGCCACCUAGUUCAUAAUAUUAUUGGCCUCUCGAUAUACGUAACAUACAUGAAAGAAGAUAAAAUCUUAGCCAACUUUUAGAUAUCUAAUAAGAGGGUAUACUCUAGUUGGGUGAUGUGGCUUCCUGGUCCGUCUAACCAGUAUAGUGGAAUCACCAUGUAGCACACUAUUAUUUGGUUAAUCUUGAGAUAAAUAGAGAGUAAGGGCUCCCAACUGAUGUAGAUCAUUUGAGAUGACAUCUUUGGUGGAGUUUGAUAUGUCUAGGGCUAGAAGUGGGCCGGACCGGGCUAGGCCAGACUCCUACCCGAACCCGGCCAAAUUUUUUUUUGGGCUUCGAGUCCGUCCUAGGCCAAAUUUUUUUUGGAUAAUGCAGGCCCUAGCCCGACUCGAGCCCUAGUUGGAGCUUGGCCCGAGCUCGAUUAGGCCAUCCCAAAUUAUCUGUUUGGGCCAAAAAUAGAUCCGUCUCGAACUCAGUUGAAGUUUAAUAUUUUAUAAUAUUACUUCGCAAGGAAAUAAGGUAGUUAAAAAUUGAACGUCCUUCUAUAACACAAGUAAAUGAUACAAGAUACAUUAUUUUCAUCUAAAGUUAUUUUAAUUUGUGUUUUACUUCCUCAUCAUUCUUUCUAAAUAAAAAUAUACAAAAAUAAUUUAAUUUGGGUCUGAAUUCGAGCACCAUUUCGAACUCUACAUUUAAGCCCAAAUCCAAUUCAAAUUCUUUCAGGCCUAGCUCGAAGCCCGACCCAAAAUUGACCCAAUCUAAUGGGCCUCGGGCCAGCGCGAACCCAUUUUCAAUUCUACAUAUAUCUAGAGGUAAUAAAAUACGAACCGACCCAUCAAUCUAACUCAUGUUCAACCCGUCAUAAACGGUUUGAAUUUGGAUAAAUGAGUUAGGAUCGUAAGCAGUUUGAUCUAUUUAACCCGUUUAUUAUUCGGGUUGAAUCCUUGUUCUUCUCUUCUGUCCUAUUUAACCCGUUAAUUAUGUGGGUCAGAUGAGAUACCAAUUUCUAAACCCAUUAAAGCCUAGUUUUCUGUUUGGUACCUGUGGCCCACGUGGUCUACUCAGGCGCCGUACUGCAUUCUCCAGUCCACUGUCCAUUCUCCAUCAGUCCGUCGUUGUCCGUCUCCAUUCUCUCGAUCUCUUCUCCAGAGACUUCUUCCCUGGAUGCUGGUUCUCUUCCCUGGUUCUCUUCCCCUGUUCCACUUACCAUCCGAUCUUUCAUCCUUGAGGGUUUUGAGGUUCUUCGGUUCUUCGGUUCUUCCAUCCACCGAUCACUAUAGGUACUCCAUGAGUCUAUCCAUCUCUAUUCUCUUCUCUAGCAACUUCUUCUCUGGUUCUCCGCCACAUUCCAUCUAGUCUUUGAGGGUUUUGAGGUUCUUCAGUUCUUCCAUCCACCGACCCCCGUUCCUUAGGGUUUCCAGGUUUUCUUCUAUUGACUAAACUACUAGCCUGCCCAUUCACACCUUUGCCGCUUCCAUCAACUGAUCAACCAACUCCGAGCGGUGAGAGCCUGAAAUCUUGCUGCAUGGGAAAGAUUGACCUCUAAGGCUCUAAAUCCCUCUAGAUCGACAGACUCCGAGCUUCUUUCCUCAACGAUCUAGUCUUCCUCAAACCCUAACUCCCUCAAAAGUUAAAACCUCCAUCAGCUUCUUCAAGAUACCUCAUCUCAAAGACUAAAACCCUUUCUAUUCCGAUUUCUCUCCUCUUUCUCUUGAUUUUCCAUCCUUUCAGCAAGAACUAGAGAAUCUCCAAGGAAGAGAAGAAGAAGAUGCACGGUAAGAUCAACUUCUUUUUUAUUUUUCAUCUUUUUAUAUUUUUUCUCUCUCUCUUUUUUUUUUUCUCAAUAUGGUUUUGAUUUGCUCGAUCUACUGCAGUGUGGUGUGGAUCCCUCUGCGAAGAAAGACUGGUAGAGUGGUGCUGCAGAAGCCACUGUGGCUCCUUCCAUUUCCACUGCCCUGCAGCCCAAAAAACCAAAAGAAAAAGCU